rnacentral:tRNA from 1 species
GGACCGGAGCGGUGAUGGGUGACACCAGCGGACUCCAAAUCCGCUGACCGAAAGGUCUUGAGGGUUCAAAUCCUUCCCGGUUCG